ensembl:lncRNA
CACUUGUAAAGCAAUUUUAUUAAGUAAUCUAAGUCUCUAAUAUUAAAUAUACUUUAAAUUUUACAGAGUAAACACAACAGCAGAUUGCAAACAGCUGAACAUUCUUGAAAGGUCUACUGCAGCUCGUUUUAAGCGACAGGUCUCCCAAAAAAUUAAAAUACUGUCAUUAUUCACUCACCUUAAAGUUGCUCCAAACCUGUAUGAGUUUCUUCCGUUGAGCACAAAAGAAGAUAUUUUGAAGAAUGUUAACAACCAAAUAUUUGACAUAGCCAUUCACUUUAAUAGUUUAGGGGAAAAAAUACUAUGUAAGUCAAUGGCUACCGUCAACUGUUUGGUUAUCCACAUUCUUCAAAAUAUCUUCUUUUGUGUUCAACAGAAGAAAUAGAUUCAUACAGGUUUGGAACGACACGAGGGUGAAUAAAUGACGGAAUUUUCAUGUUUAGGUGAACUAUCCCUUUAAUCAUUCUCAAACAAUACCUUUUGCAUUUCAUACAAUAAAAAUACAGCAAUUUUCAUUUAAAUUUCAUUCAAAAACAAAUCAUGUGAUCAAAAAAAGAAUCUAAAAAAAUAUAAAAUAAUUCUAAUAUACACAAACUGAAAAAAAAGUGGUAAAAUUAAAAAUUACGCAAUCUUGAUCUGAAUGAUUAAACAUUUUUUGUGGACUCAUUGGUCUGUGUGCUCCUUUGAGAAUUUAUUUGAGUUGCAUUACUCUGUAGGGUGACAAAAAAAGAUGCACAGACAAUUACUAUUGUCGGUAAUGUCUCUGUCUCUCCACCGGAGCUCAUAAGUACAGCAGAAGAGCUAAUUACUGGUUUCAGAGCUGUAUUAGCUGACAGAUCAAACUAUCAGCUGAAUCUCAGCCAAAGAGGCUCGGUAUUGUUUAGGCAGAAGUGCAGAUAGUACAAUAUUAGCAGCUUUGUAGAUAACUAGGACAGUAUCAAUCUUAACCUCGAUCCUUUAAAGAGAUACUGCAAAAGUGAUACAAGAGCAAAAACUGUUUCCAAGAUGUCUACUUGCUGUUGAAUCUGAUGUUGGAUGAGGGCUCUGCUACAGAUGGAGACGAGGACCCGGCACUGGAUACGGUACUGGGAGGGCUGCUGGUGUCUGCACACACAAACACACACAGUUAAUGUCCUUGUCUUUUAGAAUUUUUUUAUUUCUACUUUUU